AUGUAAGGAUAUAAAUGGAUACAAAUGUUAAAUAAAUAUUGGUUAUUUAGUAGAUUUUUAUUGUUAUUAUAUUAUAUAUAUAAAACAAAUGAAAAAAAGAAAAAAGGAGAAGAUAGAAAAGAAACAGAAUGAAACGAAACAGAGAGCAGGGGAGAAAAAGAAAGAAAGAAAAGAAAGAAAGGGGGAAAAGAGAAAAUUUAAGGUUUGAAGCUUUAAGCUUUAAUAGGUACGGGUAUGGGGUAUUACACACCCCUUUAUUAUUUUAUCUGUCAGGUAAUCCCCAGCAGUAGAUGGAUUGGUGCAGCGGAGGGCUCGACGGUGACCACAGCUACCUAUACUCUAGUUUUUACAGUUUUAAUGCUUUUAUUACUUUAACUGCUAUAAUUGAGAGUAUUUAUGUAAUUUUUGGACUCAGAUGGUUUGGUUUAAAUUUGGGAUUUUGGAACUACUGCUUAUUAUUUUGAAA